GUUACACAGAGAGGCGCAUUGAUAAUUGGAGAUAGCCUCUACUCUACCACCAAAGACAUUAUGGUUUACCACCUCCAGAGUCCAAUGGUGCGGGACUGCGGUUGUAUGAGGCAGGUGUACACUGCUCUGCUGUAACUGCAUUAUGGCUGAUGCCAGUGACAAGGUGACCUCUGAGAAAAGUGUGUGGACAAAGUCAUGCAAGGCAUGGGAGCACUUCACUCAAAUUUGUUGUCUGCAAAGCAGCACUGGCAUGGCACGGAAGCACAACCGUGAUGAAUGAGCACCUGAGAA